rnacentral:rRNA from 1 species
AUUGAACGCUGGCGGCAUGCUUUACACAUGCAAGUCGAACGGCAGCGCGGGCUUCGGCCUGGCGGCGAGUGGCGAACGGGUGAGUAAUACAUCGGAACGUGCCCAGUAGUGGGGGAUAGCUCGGCGAAAGCCGGAUUAAUACCGCAUACGACCUGCGGGUGAAAGCGGGGGAUCUUCGGACCUCGCGCUAUUGGAGCGGCCGAUGGCAGAUUAGCUAGUUGGUGGGGUAAAGGCCUACCAAGGCGACGAUCUGUAGCUGGUCUGAGAGGACGACCAGCCACACUGGGACUGAGACACGGCCCAGACUCCUACGGGAGGCAGCAGUGGGGAAUUUUGGACAAUGGGCGAAAGCCUGAUCCAGCAAUGCCGCGUGUGUGAUGAAGGCCUUCGGGUUGUAAAGCACUUUUGGCGGGAACGAAAAGGACUGUGCCAAUACCACGGUUCGAUGACGGUACCCGCAGAAUAAGUACCGGCUAACUACGUG